UCAGCAAACGAGGAUUCAGUGUCCGCUCCUUUGGGACAGGGACCCACGUGAAGCUGCCAGGACCAGCCCCGGACAAGCCGAAUGUUUAUGAUUUCAAAACAACAUAUGAUCAGAUGUACAAUGAUCUGCUUAGGAAAGACAAAGAACUAUACACACAGAAUGGGAUUUUACACAUGUUGGACAGAAAUAAGAGAAUCAAGCCACGACCAGAAAGAUUCCAGAACUGCAAAGAUGUUUUUGAUUUGAUCCUAACGUGUGAAGAGAGAGUCUAUGAUCAAGUAGUAGAAGAUUUAAAUUCCAGAGAGCAGGAGACGUGUCAGCCAGUACAUGUGAUCAAUGUGGACAUUCAGGAUAACCACGAGGAGGCCACCCUGGGGGCUUUCCUCAUCUGUGAGCUCUGCCAGUGUAUACAGCACACAGAGGACAUGGAAAACGAAAUAGAUGAGCUGUUACAGGAAUUUGAAGAGAAAAGUGGAAGGACUUUUCUUCAUACUGUCUGCUUUUAUUAAAGCACAUCUGUCUCCUAGGCCUUAAUACAGAUGAGGGAAGCAUGUGUUUAAAGUUCUGAUUAUACUGUAUUUUCCUGGAAAAUUAAUAUUGAUUUUUUUUUUUCUGUUUGUUUGUUUAAAAACUCCUUUUCAGUGUCUUUUUGUUUUGUUUCAGGUAUUCUGUCACAGGUAGGCAGAGAUACUGGUUAGGUUUGUACAUAUGAGAUGAUUAAAAGUAUACACAAAGGCCACCUAUUUAAAAAUCAAGAUUUUCUUUAAAUCCUACUUUAAUUAUUACAAGUAGGCUUUUAAUUAUAAAGAGAAUGUUUCUUGAAUAUAAGUUUAUAAUGUAUUUUUCCAGCUUACAAAUUUAUUUUAUUUCAGUUGUGCUUUUUUUUUAUGUUAAUGUGACAGAAUGGCUGAACCACGUGAGGAUGUGAAUGGAAUAAUGAAAACCAAGUAUCUGUAUAUUAUUAGAUAUAAAGUUGGAAGCAUCCAAUAAAA